UACGAAGGGUGCAAGCGUUACUCGGAAUUACUGGGCGUAAAGCGUGCGUAGGUGGUGAGUUAAGUCUGUCGUGAAAGCCCCGGGCUCAACCUGGGAAUGGCGAUGGAUACUGGCUCGCUAGAGUGCGGUAGAGGAGAGUGGAAUUCCCGGUGUAGCAGUGAAAUGCGUAGAGAUCGGGGAGGAACAUCAGUUGCGAAGGCGGCUCUCUGGACCAGCACUGACACUGAGGCACGAAGCGUGGGGAGCAAACAGG
rnacentral:rRNA from 1 species